rnacentral:antisense_RNA from 1 species
ACCGUGAAAGCCCUCGAUUCUUUGUCUGUCGUAGACGGCCUACGCACGGGAACGACGGACAUUUUUUUUCAACUCCUUGAUAGUCCCUCUUUACCUCGCUCUCUUAAGUUGACGCCUAUGCGCGAAGGCGGGGAUGAU